UUCAGAUAUUUUGUAUUAUGUACUCUCGUUUCUCUCUCAGGAUAUUUUAGGGUUUCUUUUAUAAGGCUUUGAUUCACCUGAAUCAAAGCUUAGAUUAUGAGAUUCUUGUGUAUUUUGAAUCUUAGAUUGGUGUGAGAUUUGAGAGUUGUGUAUAUUUGUUCUUUAUAAUUUCAAAAUACUUUUAGGGAUACCACAAUCUUUGGUUUGGGUAUUCUGAGUUCAAUUGCUAAUUGAUACCAUAAUUUUCAUAUGGUAUCAGAGCUCUUGAAGCUCUUGAGUUGAAAUCUGGGUGUUGGGGUUUCAUUCAUCUUUCCAUUGUGAGUUCUUGGCUAGAGCUGAACUAGAUUGGGUGAUUCUUGAUCAGAUUUAAGAAGUCUUGGUAGUAUUUAUUGAUGCAGACUUCAGAUUUGUAAGAUCGGUGUAUUUCGAAAUGUGUACUGGUCAUCAGAGGGAAGACUUUUUCUAGGGUUUGCUAUCUUGGCGGGUCAGAAUUUAUUAAUAAUCAAAUGACUUUGUUGUAUAAAAGUUGUGAGCCGAGGAACUUUCAUGAGGCUGCUAAUGAUCCCAAUUGGGUGUUAGCCAUGAAUGAAGAGACUGAAGCUCUUCACAGAAAUGACACGUGAGAUUUAGUUGAAUUGCCUCCUGGUAGAAGUGUAGUUGACUGUAAGUGGAUAUACAAAAUAAAAUAUAAAUCCACUAUUGAAAUUGAAAAGUUUCAGGCUAGACUUGUUGCCAAAUGUUAUAGUAAAAAACAAGGUGUUGAUUUUGAUGAAACAUUUUCUCCUGUUGUUAAACUUGUAAUUGUUAGAUGUAUCUUAUCUCUAGCAGUUGAAACAAGUGGAAAUUAAAGCAGCUUGAUGU
rnacentral:lncRNA from 1 species